rnacentral:rRNA from 1 species
GAUGAACGCUGGCGGCGUGCCUAAUACAUGCAAGUCGAGCGAACAGACGAGGAGCUUGCUCCUCUGACGUUAGCGGCGGACGGGUGAGUAACACGUGGAUAACCUACCUAUAAGACUGGGAUAACUUCGGGAAACCGGAGCUAAUACCGGAUAAUAUAUUGAACCGCAUGGUUCAAUAGUGAAAGACGGUUUUGCUGUCACUUAUAGAUGGAUCUGCGCCGCAUUAGCUAGUUGGUAAGGUAACGGCUUACCAAGGCGACGAUGCGUAGCCGACCUGAGAGGGUGAUCGGCCACACGGGAACUGAGACACGGUCCAGACUCCUACGGGAGGCAGCAGUAGGGAAUCUUCCGCAAUGGGCGAAAGCCUGACGGAGCAACGCCGCGUGAGUGAUGAAGGUCUUCGGAUCGUAAAACUCUGUUAUUAGGGAAGAACAAAUGUGUAAGUAACUAUGCACGUCUUGACGGUACCUAAUCAGAAAGCCACGGCUAACUACGUG